GGGUGAUUAGUGGCGAACGGGUGAGUAACACGUGAGUAACCUGCCCCUGACUCUGGGAUAAGCCCGGGAAACUGGGUCUAAUACCGGAUAUGACUACUGGCCGCAUGGUCUGGUGGUGGAAAGAUUUUUUUCGGAUCGGGGAAUGGAACUCGCGGCCAUAUCAGGCUUGUUGGUGAGGUAGUGGAUCACCAAGGCGACGACGGGUAGCCGGCCUGAGAGGGUGACCGACCACACUGGGACUGAGACACGACCCAGACUCCUACGGGAGGCAGCAGUGGGGAAUAUUGCACAAUGGGCGAAAGCCUGAUGCAGCGACGCCGCGUGAGGGAUGACGGCCUUCGGGUUGUAAACCUCUUUCAGUAGGGAAGAAGCGAAAGUGACGGUACCUGCAGAAGAAGCGCCGGGCUAACUACGUGCCAGCAGCCGCGGUAAUACGUAGGGCGCAAGCGUUAUCCGGGAAUUAUUGGGCGUAAAGAGCUCGUAGGCGGUUUGUCGCGUCUGCCGUGAAAGUCCGGGGCUUAACCCCGGAUCUGCGGUGGGUACGGGCAGACUAGAGUGAUGUAGGGGAGACUGGAAUUCCUGGUGUAGCGGUGAAAUGCGCAGAUAUCAGGAGGAACACCGAUGGCGAAGGCAGGUCUCUGGGCAUUAACUGACGCUGAGGAGCGAAAGCAUGGGGAGCGAACAGGAUUAGAUACCCUGGUAGUCCAUGCCGUAAACGUUGGGCACUAGGUGUGGGGAACAUUCCACGUUUUCCGCGCCGUAGCUAACGCAUUAAGUGCCCCGCCUGGGGAGUACGGCCGCAAGGCUAAAACUCAAAGGAAUUGACGGGGGCCCGCACAAGCGGCGGAGCAUGCGGAUUAAUUCGAUGCAACGCGAAGAACCUUACCAAGGCUUGACAUGGACUGGAUCGCCGCAGAGAUGUGGUUUCCCUUCGGGGCUGGUUCACAGGUGGUGCAUGGUUGUCGUCAGCUCGUGUCGUGAGAUGUUGGGUUAAGUCCCGCAACGAGCGCAACCCUCGUUCCAUGUUGCCAGCGGGUUAUGCCGGGGACUCAUGGGAGACUGCCGGGGUCAACUCGGAGGAAGGUGAGGACGACGUCAAAUCAUCAUGCCCCUUAUGUCUCUGGGCUUCACGCAUGCCUACAAUGGCCGGUACAAAGGGUUGCAAUACUGUGAAGUGGAGCCUAAUCCCAAAAAGCAGGUCCUCAGCUUCGGAAAUGGGGGUUCUGUGCAACUCGACCCCAUGAAGUCGGAGUCGCUAGUAAUCGCAGAUCAGCAACGCUGCGGUGAAUACGUUCCCGGGCCUUGUACACACCGCCCGUCAAGUCAUGAAAGUUGGUAACACCCGAA
rnacentral:rRNA from 1 species